AUUAGGUUGGUGCAAAAGUAAUUGCAGUUUUGCCAUUAUUUUAAUGGCAAAAACAGCAAUUACUUUUCCACCA
rnacentral:miRNA from 1 species